GAUGAAGAACGCAGCGAAAUGCGAUAAGUAAUGUGAAUUGCAGAAUUCAGUGAAUCAUCGAAUCUUUGAACGCACAUUGCGCCCCUCGGUAUUCCGACGGGCAUGCCUGUCCGAGCGUCGUUGCAAUCCAUCGAGUGACAUCUCGGUCUUGGGCGCCGUCCCCGACGUCCCCUCCCUCCCGGGGGGACGGGGGACGCGCCCCAAAGCCCUCGGCGGCCCCGAGCGCGCGCCGGAGCGUCUUCGAAAGUAACCGCUCCGCGCGUCGCGCCCGGGACCCGGCCGGCGAGCAACGAACACCCAAACCAGUCUGACCUCGGAUCAGGUAGGGCUACCCGCUGAACUUAAGCAUAUCAAUAAGCCGGAGGA
rnacentral:misc_RNA from 1 species